UACAGAGGCCCCAAGCGUUACUGAGAAUCACUGGGUUUAAAGGGUGCGUAGGUGGCGCGUUAAGUCCGUUGUGAAAUCCCUGGGCUCAACCCAGGAAAUGCUUCGGAUACUGGCGUGCUUGAGGCUAGUAGGGGUCUCUGGAACUGACGGUGGAGCGGUGAAAUGCGUAGAUAUCGUCAGGAACGCCAAUGGUGAAGACAGGUGACUGGGCUAGAUCUGACACUGAGGCACGAAAGCGUGGGGAGCGAACGGG
rnacentral:rRNA from 1 species